rnacentral:ncRNA from 2 species
GUUACAGCAAAAUCUGUAACCCGGAUUAUCACCCCGGUAUUAUACAAGGCGCAACAGGACGCUUAUCGUCCUUUUU